rnacentral:tRNA from 1 species
GCUGGAGUGGUGGAAUUGGUAGACUCGCUAGGUUCAGGACCUAGUGUCCUUCGGGACGUGCGGGUUCGAGUCCCGCCUCCAGCA